rnacentral:rRNA from 1 species
UACGUAGGUGGCAAGCGUUGUCUGGAUUUAUUGGGUUUAAAGGGUGCGUAGGCGGUUUCCUAAGUCAGUUGUGAAAUACGGCAGCUUAACUGUCGAGGUGCAAUUGAUACUGGGAAACUUGAGUACUGAUGAGGUAUGCGGAAUGGACGGUGUAGCGGUGAAAUGCUUAGAUAUCGUCCAGAACACCGAUAGCGAAGGCAGCAUACUAAGGAGUAACUGACGCUGAGGCACGAAAGUGUGGGGAUCAAACAGG